rnacentral:rRNA from 1 species
AUGAGGGGUUUCAAUGAAACAUGGUGUGGAUGGGUGAAGCAAAUUUUGUACAAUGGUACAGUUAGCAUCAAGUUAAACAAUGUAGUGGGGCCGUAUUUCCAAAGCGCAAAAGAAGUGCGUCAAGGGGAUCCUCAUUCACCUUUCCUUUUUAACCUGGCUGCGGAUUGUCUCUCUAAGAUGAUCAACAAGGCAUAG